CCUACGGGAGGCAGCAGUGGGGAAUAUUGCACAAUGGGCGAAAGCCUGAUGCAGCAACGCCGCGUGCGGGAAGAAGGCCUUAGGGUUGUAAACCGCUUUCAGCAGGGAAGCGGUACCUGCAGAAGAAGGUGCGGCCAACUACGUGCCAGCAGCCGCGGUGACACGUAGGCACCAAGCGUUGUCCGGAUUUAUUGGGCGUAAAGAGCUCGUAGGCGGUUCAGUAAGUCGGGUGUGAAAACUCUGGGCUCAACCCAGAGACGCCACCCGAUACUGCUGGACUUGAGUACGGUAGGGAGGGGAAUUCCUGGUGUAGCGGUGAAAUGCGCAGAUAUCAGGAGGAACACCAGUGGCGAAGGCGCCACUCUGGGCCGUACUGACGCUGAGGAGCGAAAGCGUGGGUAGCAAACAGGAUUAGAUACCCUUGUAGUC
rnacentral:rRNA from 1 species